GCCUCAACUGGUUCCCAAGAGGAAGUUCUCUACGUGUCUUCAAAAAGAGGCAAGGAUGUGCUGCCAUAAAGAUAGGUAUAUCCUCUGCCUCUAUAAAAGCUUUACCGUGCUUUACCAUCUUUCAAGAAGCAACUCCAAUGGGCCCUCCUCUACAAAGUCUUCCCUAACCCUCAAAUCUUCACAGUGCCUGCCUGCUCUCUCUUCUUCCUUUUAAUUCCCAAAGUACUUAUGCAUCUCUUAUGGUAGUUUGAAUCGGUAUGAUAGCUAGCCAUACAAUGUCCUCUCUUCCAUACCAGGAUGUAAGCUGCAUCAGAGGCAUGUUCUGUGUCUUUACACGUCCUGCUGUCACCAGCACCAGAAAAGAGAUGCUCAAAACACAGUCUUCACACAAAUCCUUAUACAAAUCUUUUAAUAAGAAGUAGAAGUUCAAUAAAUAUUCAUUAAAUUAAUAAAUGAAUGAGCACACUAAUUAAAUAAUUAAUUAAUUUCAUGCAACAUCUUACCUGGCUACAGCAAUUAACCCUACUCGUCAAUGCGCGGUAAAUGAAGGAAGGAUAUGUAUCUGAUGGGGCACAGUGGUGGGUGAAUGAAGAAAAAAAAAUCAGCUACUCCAGGUGCCUAGCAUGCAUCAGAAAUUGUGACUGUUCCCCAAAUGUUCAACAGACACCACCUUCAAACAGGACAUUGUUAGAUAAUGACACUUUCUGAUGUCCUUUGAUGUAGAGCACAUUAAAAAUAUUAUCAGAGGGAAAAUCUUUCUGUUCAAAAUCCCCCAACCUCUUCAACUGUGUAUUUAGUUUUCAUCAAUUAAAUUAUUAUAUCAUUUCAAUGGGUGACUUUUUAUAUACACUGGAAAGGUACUCAUAAGAAAAUAGCUUCCAAAUUGGCAAUUUUUAAAAGCAAAGCAACUGGUUAGGUGAGGAAUGCAUAAACAACCCCAAAAGCGGCACUGAAUACUUUUCUUUGGCUGUAUACGACUGAAAAACUGCCAAGUUCAUUUCGAUAAGCCUUUGUUAAAAACAAUAAACAUGCCUGAGCUUGCAAACUAUGCUGUUUUGAAGAAAAAGCAAUUGAGAGAAUUAGAAAAUGCUUAAAACUGGAAUGUCUAAUAGUCUAUGAAUAUGGAGGAAAGUGGGGGACAAAAUGUAAAGUGAGACAAAAUAACAACAGAACACCAUCUUCAUAAAUAAAUAAAAAGCAACAUCUUAUAAACUAAUUUAAUUAGUCUCCAAUACUAACAUGGUACCACUAACACUCUUAAGAAAACAAAUCAUCCCGUGCUUCAAGUUUAGUCACCAAGGUGAUCUCCCUGCAAUAAAGGAAAUGUAAUUUCAUUGACUCCAAAUGAACAUAUAUUAAAUAACCAAAUGUGGGAACUGCAAUUCACUUACAGUAAAAUGUCAGCUCAUAAAAGUCAAAGUAACUUCACCUGAAUUUGUUUUUUUGUUGUUGUUGUUGUCGUUUUUAGUUUUUUUUUUUUCCAUGAUUAUAAGAUUCUCAGAAUUGCAGGAUUGGAAGGAAGAUAGUUUGGAUCACUUAUGUUUAUUUUCCUGCUUAGGUAAAACUGAAAUUCUCUUGUACCUGCCUAAGAAAUCCUGGAAAAAUUCUAGUGAAUAAAUUGCAACUUGAGCUCUAUAGGAUCAAAGUUCUUUGUUUUGUUCAUUGACAUAUCCCAAAUGCCCAGAACAGCACUAGGCAUACAGUAGGCACUCAAUAAAUAUCUGCUCAAUUGAACUAAAUUGAAAAAUAUGCAGUGCAAUGCAAUGUUAAAUAAGUCACUUUGAAACUCCUUUCUUAGCUUUGUUUUGGUCAUAGUAUUAAUCACAAUAAACAAACAGUCCUCAUAUAAAACACUUCAACACUAUAAUUCAUGUUUUUACUUCUGAUCGAUCAUUACCAUAGAGGGUGCUGAGAAUCAGAAAAGACUCCAAGGAAAGAUGGGGGUAGAGUUACUCCCAUCUAUUUGGACUAAUUUUCUUCUUCUGGGCAUUCACCUGAGAAGUAUCUGUAUAUCCAUAAUAUAAAAAUAAUUUAAAAUAUUACUUAAAAUUAAAGGUUUGCACCUUUAAAAAUUGUGCCACAAAAGCAAUUUGAUUAAAUCAACCUCUCAUCUAUUUCAGAAUCCCAUCAGUUAAAAAAAAAAAACAUAAAAAAUAAGAACAGGAAAAUGAUGUGAUUAGGUGAUGCUAGUCAUAUUAUUUUUGCUCAAAAUGCCUAGAGGCAAUAUGCCUUGGAAAACUGAGUUAGGUGGGAAUGAGAAGAUCUGGAUUCUAGUGUUGAUUCCAUCACCAGUUAACAGUAUGAAUUCAGCCAAUCCUUGCCAAUCUGGAUCUGAGCUUCCUGGGCUGUAACGUGAAGAGUUUGAAUUUAGUAGAUGGUCUCCAAAGCCUUUCAGUUUCAAAGUUUCUCUAAACCCUGUAAUUAUAAGUGACUAAAUCCAGUUCACCUAAUUACUACCACUACUCUUUUACAUCCUUCAUUUCUUCAGCAAACAUCCGGUCACCUUGGGGGCGCAGGGGGUGGAGGAUGUCAAACACCAUUAGCCACAGUUUGGCACGACAUUUAUGGAGGGGGAGCGACAAACAAUGCAAGGGCAGCUAGCUGAUGAUUUUAACUGUUAGCGAGCUUACACCUGUGGAGCGAAUGUGUUUCUGAAUUUGAAAGGCCGGAAGAUUUUCCCCCUGGGCUAAGCUGGUGACGCCGCGGGAGUGCCUAGCUCUGAGCAAAGAACCAGUUCCUGUGAUAUCCCAGGGGCGAUAGUGCCUUUCUCUCCGGGUGCUUUGAGGAUUACAUGAGAUGACAAAUACGAGAGUGGCGGGCACAGCCUGACCCAGGUCACUGUUUGAAGAAUGUGGAUGUCUACUCAUUCAUGAAGCUCUGUGAAGGAAACAAACUGGAAAUCAAAGGAGGUGCAUAAUAUUGUAGAUUAUGAAAGAAAGAUAACUACAGGACUCCAAUCGGAGAAACCAUGCUCAAAAAUAGGCGUUGGUCUCACAUCAAAAGAUUGUAUUUUAGCAAAAAAGAGGGAAGAAGGAGAGAGGACCAGAGGGAGGAGGAAGAAGAAAAUAUAGAGAAAGCAUGUGUUGUGAAGCCUUAAUGAUUGCAGAAUCUGCACUGAUGGAUUAAUGGAGGUUCUUUAUACUGUUCUCUCUCCUUUACAUAUGUUUAUGAAUUUUCUUAAUAAAAAGCUGAUAAAGCAAGAUAUAGAAUAGUAUAUGGAGGGUGAAUUGUAUAGCAUAUAAUUAUAUUUCAAUAAAGCUAUUAUUUUGUAAAAAGAAUGCUAUAUAGAGUUUGCUACCUUUGGAAAGAUAAAUGUAUCCUACAUUACAUACAAUAUAAACAAAGAUAUAUUGUAAUACGUACAAUAAAAACAAACAAAAAAACCCUAAAAAAAAUGGCAGCCUCUACUGAGGUUAACACUGAGAGACAGAAGUGGAAAUGGUGACUCACUUCCUUGUGUAUCCUUCUAAUGUCUUAGAAGUCUGUAUUAUGUGUUUGUAUUAUCUAUCCAAAAAUUUGAAUCAGAAAAUUUAUAACUGAUGGGGAAGCAUUUCACAGCAUCUCAAGAAUCACAGCAAAAAUGUUUUAGAUUUGGUAAACGUGGUGUCCCUCAAUGAAAUGGCUGCAAUCAAAGGUUCUCAAAUCAGUGACUCCAGAGAGCAAAGCAAGGACUGAGGGACUUGGUGGCUGCUCUCAUGGGAAAUGCAACACUGCCAGUCACUGGUGCGGCCACUGGGAGUCUGCACUGACUGGACACCCUCUGGUAGAGCCUUGGCCCCAAGGCGACUGGUGAUUCCCUUCACUCAUUCAGCCCCACAGAAACAUAUAAAAUAGUUGCUCAAACCAGUGUAUAACAUGGCUACAUUUUCAAAUUGGCACUCGCUCUACUCCACCAAUCAACAAUAUUGAAAUUGAAAUCAAAAGUGAAAAGUAAAGUCAGUUGCUCUCUCCCAAAGGGAUUCUGAUGCCUGUGAAAAGACCUGCUGACCUGCUGGCUCACUCCAGCAAAAAGCACAAGAAGCCAGCUCUGCGGAAAGUAGGGGAAAGGGCAUCUAUUGCUCUGUGGGGCAAGGGUUGUUACCAGCUGACCUUUGAGAGCCCAUGAGUACAGCCAACUACACACAUAUUGGUCUUGGGGCUUGUUUCAUUACUUGGAAAAAUUCCCUUUAAAGGUUAAUGUCAAGAAAUAAACUCUGUUACAUUGAGUCCCAUGACUCAAGUGGACUUUGAAAAAACAUCUCUGGAAUGCUCUUUUCUCUGAGUAUCAGCCUCCCAUUUAAACUCCGUCUGAACUGAGGGCUUCCAAAAAGGUAUAUCGCUGAUCUGCAGGCCAGUAACAUACUCUGUUCAGUGUUAUGCAAGGAGAGUAUGUUUUUUGUCAACCCAGAACUCAAAGGCAGGGCUAACACCCAUGUAUCAUAAAGACUGCCUCAUACACUAACAUUCAACUAUUCAACUGAGAGGGGGCUCAAGGGGCUUUCUGAGUACCUAUAAUGUUCUAUUUCUUGAUCUGGGUGAUGGCUAUACAGGGUUGCUUGUGUGUGUAAAUUAAACUGUAAGCUUAUAAUUUGAGCCUUCUUCUGUAUGUAUGUCACCUCUAUUAAAAGCUGUAUUUAUAAAAACUCCAUUACAGAUCUACUGUGGUUCUUUAAUACUCUCCUAUGACCUGUUCCAUGCCUCAACUCCUCUUUCCUGUCUUUCUAAUAUACCUCAGUGUGAAGAGUUCUACUUUAUACACCUUGUAUUUCAGAAAAGGUUCAAUUUUUUCCAAACGAAUCUUGCAAUGCUUCAAAACAUGUUAAUACAACUUUGUAUGUCACCAGCUCCACCCCUUUUUGUGCCUGGGACUCUGGCUGG
rnacentral:lncRNA from 1 species